GCGCGGGUGGCGGAAUUGGCAGACGCGCUGGAUUUAGGUUCCAGUGUCCAUGGACGUGGGGGUUCGAGUCCCCUCCCGCGCA
rnacentral:tRNA from 1 species